GCUUACGGCCAUACCAGCCUGGGUACGCCCGAUCUCGUCUGAUCUCGGAAGCUAAGCAGGGUCGGGCCUGGUUAGUACUUGGAUGGGAGACCGCCUGGGAAUACCAGGUGCUGUAAGCU
rnacentral:rRNA from 1 species